rnacentral:tRNA from 1 species
GCGCGAAUGGUGAAAUUGGCGGACACGCUAGAUUUAGGGCUCUAGUGCUUUAAACAGCGUGAGGGUUCGAGUCCCUCUUCGCGCACCA